UAGAGUUCGAGAGAGGUGAGUGGAAUUCCGAGUGUAGAGGUGAAAUUCGUAGAUAUUCGGAGGAACACCAGUGGCGAAGGCGGCUCACUGGCUCGAUACUGACGCUGAGGUGCGAAAGUGUGGGGAGCAAACAGGAUUAGAUACCCUGGUAGUCCACGCCGUAAACGAUGGAUACUAACUGUUCGUCCGCCUCGGCGGAUGAGUGGUUAAGCGAAAGUAUUAAGUGAUGCACCUGGGGAGUACGCCGGCAACGGUGAAACUCAAAGGAAUUGACGGGGGCCCGCACAAGCGGUGGAGCAUGUGGUUUAAUUCGAAGCAACGCGCAGAACCUUACCAACCCUUGACAUCCUGUGCUAUAUUUAGAGAUGGAUGGUUCCCUUCGGGGACGCAGUGACAGGUGCUGCAUGGCU
rnacentral:rRNA from 1 species